rnacentral:rRNA from 1 species
AGAGUUUGAUCCUGGCUCAGAACGAACGCUGGCGACGUGCUUAACACAUGCAAGUCGAACGCGAAAAGGGACUUCGGUCCUGAGUAAAGUGGCGCACGGGUGAGUAACGCGUGGAUAAUCUACCCAAUGAUCUGGGAUAACAUCUCGAAAGGGGUGCUAAUACCGGAUAAGACCACGGAGUCUCUGGAUUCUGCGGUAAAAGGUGGGGACCUUCGGGCCUACCGUCAUCGGAUGAGUCCGCGUACCAUUAGCUAGUUGGUGGGGUAAUGGCCUACCAAGGCUACGAUGGUUAGCUGGUCUGAGAGGAUGAUCAGCCACACUGGAACUGAGACACGGUCCAGACUCCUACGGGAGGCAGCAGUGGGGAAUUUUGCGCAAUGGGGGAAACCCUGACGCAGCAACGCCGCGUGAGGGAAGAAGGCUUUCGGGUUGUAAAAUCCUGUCAGAUGGAAAGAAGUGCAUAGUGGGUUUAAUACCCGCUAUGUUUGACGGUACCAUCGAAGGAAGCACCGGCUAACUCCGUGCCAGCAGCCGCGGUAAUA